rnacentral:lncRNA from 1 species
AACACCGUGAGCCUCUCACAGGCUUCCUGUCUCUGGACAAAGCUUCAAGAACUUUCUGGAAAGAGAGAACGUUAAGAAAUGAUGGACACCUAGCAAGACUCCUGGGGGACAGCGAGGACGGGAAGGAGGCUCCACCAGAGCUGCACUUCCCACACAGCUGUCUGCAUUUUCUCAGAAACUGGACAAGCAGUUCUGCCUCCUGGCCUGGACGUGUGGCAAUAGCGAGGUCACCUUCUGCUUCGGGUAAUUUCCCUGGGAGGCGAGGCAGAUCCUUUCUGUACAGCUAUUUGUUUCAGGGAAGUAGCCUCCUGCCUCCGAUGGGGGCUGGGCCCUGGCGGCGGGAAGGGACGCUUUGUUCUUCUGACCAGUGCUGACAGUUUAAUUAAACCCAGCUUGAGACAGGG